CCUACGGGAGGCAGCAGUGGGGAAUAUUGGACAAUGGGCGAAAGCCUGAUCCAGCAAUGCCGCGUGAGUGAUGAAGGCCUUAGGGUUGUAAAGCUCUUUUACCAGGGAUGAUAAUGACAGUACCUGGAGAAUAAGCUCCGGCUAACUCCGUGCCAGCGGCCGCGGUAAUACGGAGGGAGCUAGCGUUGUUCGGAAUUACUGGGCGUAAAGCGUGCGUAGGCGGCGAUUCAAGUCAGAGGUGAAAGCCUGGAGCUCAACUCCAGAACUGCCUUUGAAACUAGAUUGCUAGAAUCUUGGAGAGGUCAGUGGAAAUUCCGAGUGUAGAGGUGAAAUUCGUAAGAUAUUCGGAAGAACACCAGUGGCGAAGGCGACUGACUGGACAAGUAUUGACGCUGAGGUACGAAAGCGUAGGGGAGCAAACAGGAUUAGAUACCCUGGUAGUCCACGCUGUAAACGAUGAUAACUAGCUGUCCGGGCUCUCAGAGCUUGGGUGCGCAGCUAACGCAUUAAGUUAAUCCGACCUGGGGAGUACGGUCGCAAGAUUAAAACNCAAAGGAAUUGACCGG
rnacentral:rRNA from 1 species